rfam:Candidatus Roizmanbacteria bacterium RIFCSPHIGHO2_12_FTLL_41_11 rifcsphigho2_12_scaffold_37294, whole genome shotgun sequence.
UGGGGGAUCGUCUAAUGGUAGGACAACAGACUUUGGAUCUGUUUAUCUUGGUCCGACUCCAAGUCCCCCAG